ensembl:lncRNA
CCCAGACAUCAGUAAGGCAAGGAACCAUCUGAAAUCGGUUGCAGAAUGGCAGAAUUUGAAGAGAUUAUUAAAGCGGUUGAAGAUGGGAUAGAAGAAGCGGAAGAAGCAUCUGAGGGACUAUCAGGAGAAGCACGAGAGGAAAUUGAAGAAGUAAUAGCCGAAACCCGCACGGCGAUUGAAGAGCUUUCUACAACUCAGAAUAAACUCCAAGAGUUCCUUAAGUCCAUCGGAAAUUGUGUAGCUAAAGUGGCCAAGUUUACUGCUGAAACUGUAGCGGUUGGCGCCAUCCUGUGGGGGGUAAAUGUUGCUUUAAACAAGCUGCUUCCACAACAUGACCAAAAAGAAACCAAGACACGCAUGCGUAAUGUAAUAAAGGCCUUGAGUGACGUGAUCAACACUGAAGCCACCAUAAACAAGAAGGUACUGGAAUGGAUGGAGGUCCACAAGGACGAUACCAUCACUCUGGAUGGAUAUGAAGUGUCUUUGGAAGCCAUUCUGACAAAAUACAUUAAACCAUUAGUUGAGGCAUCCGAAAAAGCCGAAACCAUCGCUGAAUCCCUCCAAGAAAAGGUUGAUGGGAAAACUCAGUUUAAAUGUCCAAGCGCAGAUGUCAUGAGAAAAUUCAUGGAUGUGACCGAUGUGUACAUCAAGGCCUUCACCGAUCUCAUCGCGUUCAUUAUGAAAAAUGUAGACCAUGUUGUAGAGCUGCAGAGCUUUCCGGUAAAAGAGGGAGAUGUUAUUGACCUAGCAGCAAAGCUGAAUGCUGCCAAGGACUUACCUCUGUGGUAAAAUAGAUUAUGAUUUGAUAACAUUACUCAGAAAUGGCAGAACAAGUUGUGUGUGUUUUUCUAGUUUGGAUAAGUUUGGCUAAUUCAACACUUUUAUCUACUGAAUUUAUUGAAUAUAGCACGUGGAACAAGAUCAAAUCAAAUGAACAUUUUAAUGGCAAUGCUAUCUUGUUUUACUUUUAAUUCAUUCGGCUUAUUUUCUUUAAACGUAUUUGCAUUUUUAUAACAAUUAUAUUUUUAAAAUGAAUCAUUUCUGAUUAAGAUUCAUGUAUUUCCUAUAACUUACUCAUAUGAAAAUAUUUUUAUGCCAGUGAUGUCUUAAUCAGUUAACUCUUAGAUUUUGGAUGAGUUUCAUCACCAGACUUUCUAAACCAGUCUCAUUAUGAAUCAGUGAACGUUGGUCAAUGUACAUUUCCUGUUUCAAAAUAUUGUCAUCAAAAGAUCUGCAACAUGAAUCUCCAUUUUUUUUUCUCCACUUGUAUCUGCAUUCAUCAUCUUCAUUAAAAGAAGUUCAUAAACUAUUUUGUCUUCAUUGAAUGAAAUCUUUUAAAGUUCUACAUUAGUGAUAUUAGGGAUUUCAAAACACCAAAUAAAUGAAGGAAUUUUAAUGAAAGAAUGUGACAAUAAUACACAAUGUAAAACAAGGGUUAGAACUGCAAAAGAACCAGGAUAGCGAAAAACAAGAAACGCGAAACCAAAAAUGAGAACGACGAGCACCUUUAGGAAAACUUGGAACGCAAAUCAGUUAAAUAAAAUAAUAAACAAAAUCAAAAAUAAUAAUAAUCAAAACAAACCCACUCAUGGGAAGCAGCUCUCGCCAUAUUGGAAAACCACAGCACACACCGAGAGGUCAUUUGUGAUGAACAUUUCUGAAUCUCUGAAGAUACUAAGCUAGCUUAGAGUUAGUUUCUUCUUCAUUCAGUAAGUGGUGUGUAUAUCUCAGCGUUCUCCAUUGCUCGGUUUGUCCCUCAGCAUUGUCUCCUUUGAAUAUCUCACAUUUCCUCACUGUCUAGUCAUCUAUCAAUACUGCAGCCACAUUCCAUUAGCAUGGAUGAGCGAUUUUUGUGUCGUUAACGGACCCCUCUGGCCACGACUGGCCUCAUCUACUGUGCACAUUUCCUCCUCUAACACGGAUUCUUCCCACGUUACAAAUAAUUCAGCCAGGUCAUGUUUACACAUGAUUGAAUGCAGGAUAUGAGAGUGAGCCUGGCAAACAUUCAUUACCAUGUCCUAUAGUACAAAUUAGACUUCAUGGGAGCCAUCCAAUCCUCAGACCAGCUGUUUAUCUGCCACAGAGGAAAGACACAAUGGCCUCCUUUACCUAUGUAGCAGUUGGCCCACUGGGUGGAGGACAUUAUCACCAAGCUCCCAUCGUGACAUACCAGAACAUGAGGAGUAUCUGCACCCACGGUCUCAUCUCAACAUCUUAUGCUUCUGUGGAAUUCUGUGGUUACCGUUACCCCUCCCAUUUUUCUUCACAUUAUUGUUAUCUAUUACCCACCUGGCUCUCUAGGAAACCUCAGUGAAGAGCUGGACAUUCUCCUUAGUCUCUUUUCUACACCUUGCUGUGCUCCUCUCAUAGCGCCCUCUUCUGUUAACAUUUUCAAUGCUUCGUCUUUCUGAAUUCGUUAGUAAGUUUGGCGAGUGUUGUGUGUGAUGCGCUCGCAAUGUUUCCUGCGAAAGUCCAUCGCAUCCUUGUGACAGUUUCCCGAUCCAGCCACGAGAACGAUUUCAAGAUGUUCUUUUGUCAAAGUGACUGAAAAAAAAAAAAUAUUAUAAACUAAGUAUGAAAAAUUUUGGAAGACAUUUUGCUGAAAAGUAUCAAUUUCUCCUAUGCAUGGAGACUUUUGGGACACGCUGUAUAACCCAUUAACGUUGGCAUCAUCUUGAAGUGGUAUUCCGUAAAUAAAUUUUCUUAAAGAUAAAAAACCCCAUGUGACAGGAAAGACAAGUGCAUGCGAAUCAGCAUGAACGUGUAUUCUUCGUAAGGCCUCUUAAAUAAGACUUUUUAACCUGUAUAUCUUUGUAGGACACUGUAUCUAAAGAGUGCCUUUUCAAAUACAAAUUAUUUGAUGAUCAGUUGAUCAUUUAAUUUGACUCCUUGAAGUCAUACAAUUUUGUACAUGUCUAACAUCCUGGCUUCCUUUACAAAAAUACUUACUAUGAAAAACAUUUUUAUAAAAUGAUAUCAGAAAAGAAUUGUCUGAAAUAAAUAUAUAUAUAUAUAUAU